rnacentral:piRNA from 1 species
GAAAACUGGGUCUGUGUUUUGGACGAUGU